rfam:Treponema bryantii strain B25 genome assembly, contig: Ga0070255_101
CGGGUAUUAGCGCAGCUGGUAGCGCGCGACGUUCGGGACGUUGAGGUCGCUGGUUCGAAUCCAGUAUACCCGA